AGAGUUUGAUCCUGGCUCAGAUUGAACGCUGGCGGUAUGCCUUACACAUGCAAGUCGAACGGUAGAGGGGCAACCCUUGAGAGUGGCGAACGGGUGAGUAAUACAUCGGAACGUGCCCAGUCGUGGGGGAUAACGUAGCGAAAGCUACGCUAAUACCGCAUACGACCCGAGGGUGAAAGCGGGGGACUCGCAAGAGCCUCGCGCGAUUGGAGCGGCCGAUGGCAGAUUAGGUAGUUGGUGGGGUAAAGGCCCACCAAGCCUGCGAUCUGUAGCUGGUCUGAGAGGACGACCAGCCACACUGGGACUGAGACACGGCCCAGACUCCUACGGGAGGCAGCAGUGGGGAAUUUUGGACAAUGGGCGAAAGCCUGAUCCAGCCAUACCGCGUGCGGGAAGAAGGCCUUCGGGUUGUAAACCGCUUUUGUCAGGGAAGAAAUCCUUUGGGUUAAUACCUCGGAGGGAUGACGGUACCUGAAGAAUAAGCACCGGCUAACUACGUGCCAGCAGCCGCGGUAAUACGUAGG
rnacentral:rRNA from 1 species